CUCAGGCACCUAGGAAUGUGCUGGACCCUGCUUCAGGGCUGAGGACAUGCAAAGAACCAGGCAGCCCUUGUCUGCAGCGAUGUUAAAGCCCAGGAGGGGACACAGAUUUGAGAACACUUAAGAUCUACGCUCUCAGCAAAUUUCAAGAAAACGAUCCAAUGUUGUUAGCUACAGGCACCGUACAACAGCAGAGCUGCAGAACUGAGGCACCUCGCAAACUCAAACUUUGCACCCUUUGACCGACAUCUCCUCAUUUUCCUCUCCCCACAACCUCUGUUAACCACAGAUUCUACUCUCUGCUUCUAUGAGUUUGACUAUUUUAGAUUCCACACAUACGUGGAUCAUGCGGUGUUUGUCUUUCUGUGUCUGGCUUAUUUCACUUAGCAUCAUGUCGUCUAGCUUCAUCCAAGUUGUCACGAAGGACAGGAUUCCCUUCUUUUUUUAAAGGCUGAAUAGUACUCCAUUGUAUGUAUAUACCACAUUUUCUUUAUCCAUUCAUCCAUUGACUGAUACACAUUUCCAGAGGUGGAAAGAAAGAAACAGAAAUGUAUUAAUGUCCUGAAAACUGUGCAUUAAUAUAGGUAUGUACAUGUAAUGCUUUUGGAAGAAAAGUUGAGAAUCAUUGAAAUAUGACUUUUAAUGGCCCCUCUCACUCCCAAAUUUUAUAUCUUACAAUCCAUGGCAACGAUCUUGUGAGAUCUUUGGUGCUUUAAAAUGAUCAAUACUACAUAUCAUUUUUGGUAAUCAAUUAU
rnacentral:lncRNA from 10 species